UAGGGAAUCUUCGGCAAUGGGGGCAACCCUGACCGAGCAACGCCGCGUGAGUGAAGAAGGUUUUCGGAUCGUAAAGCUCUGUUGUAAGAGAAGAACGUGUGUGAGAGUGGAAAGUUCACACAGUGACGGUAACUUACCAGAAAGGGACGGCUAACUCGUGCCAG
rnacentral:rRNA from 1 species